rnacentral:lncRNA from 1 species
CAUUACAUUACAAUCCUUGUUCCAACCAGCAAAUUGAGUUGUCUUAUUUAUUUCAUUAAAAAGGUAAGCUAUAUAAUGUUAAUUAAAGUAAUUUAAUAAAAUAAAUUAAUUGAAAAUUAAUAGGAAUAUAAUUCAAUAAAUAUAAUAAGUUUAAUUCGAGCAAUAUUUGAAAUAGAAAUAUAUUUGUUAUUGUCAAUUGAUAAUGUUAUCUGUUAUUAAUCUGUAUGAUUUAUGCACUGUAAUAUUUUACGAUCAAAAAGAAAAGAAACAUUACAUUACAUUACAAUCCUUGUUCCAACAAGCAAAUUGAGUUGUCUUAUUUAUUUCAUUAAAAAGGGUAAGAAGGCGCGAGUCCCACCCUCGCUGCCAAGCCAGUCCACAACAACGACAUGUAGUCCCCAGAUGUCCAGACAUCAUUCUACCUACAAGAACCGUAGAAGAACUGAGCAAACGAAAGGAAGCAAAUCAACACCAUGUUGUUCAAUUUAGAAACCACCGAAGACAACCAUAAUACCAUCUUAACAAGUGACCUCCCAAGUUAACAUUACAACAAAAAAAACAUAAAAUCCCCGUCACAACAGUCGACGAAGAA